GGCUGGGAUAGCUCAGUCAGUAGAGCAUGAGACUCUUAAUCUCAGGAUUAUGGGUCUGAGCCCCGCAUUGGACA